rnacentral:rRNA from 1 species
GACAGAGGUCCCGAGCGUUAGGCGGAAUCACUGGGCUUAAAGCGUGUGUAGGCGGAUCGUUAAGUGCCUUGUGAAAUCCCACGGCUCAACCGUGGAACUGCUCGGCAUACUGGCGAUCUUGAGCCACCUAGGGGCAACCGGAACAAAUGGUGGAGCGGUGAAAUGCGUAGAUAUCAUGUGGAACGCCAAUGGUGAAAACAGGUUGCUGGGGGUGUGCUGACGCUGAGACACGAAAGCCAGGGGAGCGAACGGG